rnacentral:rRNA from 1 species
AGCGAACGCUGGCGGCAGGCUUAACACAUGCAAGUCGAGCGCCCGUAGCAAUACGGGAGCGGCAGACGGGUGAGGAACACGUGGGAACGUACCCUUCAGUUCGGAACAACCCAGGGAAACUUGGGCUAAUACCGGAUAAGCCCUUACGGGGAGAGAUUUAUCGCUGAAGGAUCGGCCCGCGUCUGAUUAGCUAGCUGGUGAGGUAAUGGCUCACCAAGGCGACGAUCAGUAGCUGGUCUGAGAGGAUGAUCAGCCACACUGGGACUGAGACACGGCCCAGACUCCUACGGGAGGCAGCAGUGGGGAAUAUUGGACAAUGGGCGCAAGCCUGGAUCCAGCCAUGCCGCGUGAGUGAUGAAGGCCUU